GGGUCAAACCAGCCAGCACCUUGAAAACUGCAUAAGCAAAGCGAAAACAAGUGGUCAAGAUAAUCAGGGCUGACGGUGGAUACCUAGGCACACAGAG
rnacentral:rRNA from 1 species